rnacentral:tRNA from 1 species
UGCCCUGUAGUUUAGUUGGCAAAACACCCGCUUGCAGGAGUCGCUUGUUCAAACCCAGCCGGGGCAA